GAAAGCCUACAGGAAGUGCUCUACCGGAAUAUCGUCGAACUGCACAGACAAGCACGAGGCGACUCCAUUAGACGCAGAGACUCCACACACAGAAUGUGCUGCAGACAGGGGGCCGUGCUGUUCAAUAUUUAUCUGCUCUUGAGGACCGCGUGCUCUGAGAAGCAGCUGUGGGUGACCGAGGGUGACGGCGUCGUCCUCCCCUGCCUUCUCCCACGUCCCUUUCCCCCUCUGAAUGAGAUGACUGGG